GAUGAACGCUGGCGGCGUGCCUAAUACAUGCAAGUCGAGCGAACAGACGAGGAGCUUGCUGCUCUGACGUUAGCGGCGGACGGGUGAAUAACACGUGUAUAACCUACCUAUAAGAGUGGUAUAACUUCGGGAAACCGGAGCUAAUACCGUAUAAUAUUUUGAACCGCGGUGUGCAAUGGUGAAAGACGGUGUUUCGGUCACGUAUAGAUGGAUCCGCGCUGCAUUAGCUAGUUGGUAAGGUAACGGCUUACCAAGGCAACGAUGCCUGGGCGAGCUGAGAGGGUGAUCGGCCACACUGGAACUGAGCCACGGUCCAGACUACUACGGGAGGCAGCAGUAGGGAAUCUUCCGCAAUGGGCGAAAGCCUGACGGAGCAACGCCGCGCGAGUGAUGAAGGUCUUCGGAUCGUAAAACUCUGUUAUUAGGGAAGAACAUAUGUGCAAGUAACUGUGCACAUCUUGACGGUACCUAAUCAGAAAGCCACGGCUAACUACGUG
rnacentral:rRNA from 1 species